CCAAUGAGCAGUAAAUGCAUAAAUCCAAAAUAUUAUGCCGGUAAAUUCCUAAAAUUUGUAUAUCAUGCCACAUGUGCCUCCAAAACGCCUGCUAGUGCCAUGUGCCCUCAAACACCCUGCCAGUGGUACCUCACUGCCACCAGCCUCCCUGCGCCAUGUCUCUGCCCUUAGCCUCUCUGUGCCUUCUCUCUGCCUCUAGUGAGGGUGUCAGUGUGUGGGUGGGUGUCAGUUUGAGUGGGAUGGUGAUAGUGUAUGCAUGCUAGGGUGAUAUCUGUCACAUCC